rnacentral:misc_RNA from 1 species
GGAGGGAUCAUUGAAUUAUUAAAACCACAAUGUGAACCUCAACGUCCCGUGCCUUGGCUUGCCAGUGGGGCAUUCGGCCUAAAAGCCGUUUGCAGCUCACAGCUGAGUGGGCAAUGCUGCUUGCUCAGUGGCGCCUUGGCAUGACUAUACACCAGUGCCAACCACUGAUAAAACCAAAAUCUGAAGUUGUGAUUGCUGGUAACUGGCAAUCUUAACCAAAGACAACUCUCAACAACGGAUAUCUUGGCUCUCGCAACGAUGAAGAACGCAGCGAAAUGCGAUACGUAGUGUGAAUUGCAGAAUUCCGUGAACCAUCGAAUCUUUGAACGCAUAUUGCGCUCGAGCCUUCGGGCAAGAGCAUGUCUGCCUCAGCGUCGGUUUACACCCUCACCCCUCCCAACUAUUUGGGCUUGUUGGCAUCAACGCCAGCUUAGGGGUGGAUCUGGCUUCCCCAACACGCUUUUGUGUGUUGGGUUGGCUGAAGUGCAGAGGCUUAAGCAAGGACCCGUUAUGGGCUUCAACUGGAUAGGUAGCAACGGCUUGUGCCGACUACACGAAGUUGUCGCUUGUGGAUCUUGCUAGGGGCCAAGCAGGAACGUGUCUUAUGGCAUGUCUAAACUUUCGACCUGAGCUCAGGCAAGGCUACCCGCUGAACUUAAGCAUAUCAAUAAGCGGAGGAAAAGAAACUAACAAGGAUGCGCUUAGUAACGGCGAGCGAACCGCGCAAAGCCCAACUUGAAAAUCUCCCUAGGAGAAUUGUAGUCUAUAGAAGUACCCUCUGCGACGGGCUGAGCUAAAGUCUCCUGGAAAGGGGCGUCAGAGAGGGUGAGAACCCCGUAAGCUCACGCUUAGUUGCCUCACGAGGUGCUUUCAAAGAGUCGGGUUGCUUGGGAAUGCAGCCCAAAUUUGGUGGUAAAUCCCAUCUAAGGCUAAAUAUUGGCGAGAGACCGAUAGCGAACAAGUACCGUGAGGGAAAGAUGAAAAGAACUUUGAAAAGAGAGUUAAAAAGUGCUUGAAAUUGUUGAGGGGGAAGCGUUUGAAUGCUAGGGUGCGCCUAGGCUUAUGGGUCCUUAACGGGGCUCUGUAUGUGCUAGGUGCUGGCCAGCAUGGGUUAGGCUAGUGGGAUAAAAGCUGGGGUUGAUACCCGGUCUAUGCCACUGGCUUGACCAAGGCGUGAAGACUGCCCUUGUCCUUCGGGAACUGCAGUCUCAAGAUGCUGGCAAAAGGCUUUCAACCGACCCGUCUUGAAACACGGACCAAGGAGUCUAACAUGUAUGCGAGUUGGUGGGUGGAAAACCCAUGAAGCGUAAGGAAACUGACUGGUGGGAUGGCCUGUGCCUGCACCAUCGACCGACCAUGCGUUUCUGCAAAAGGUUUGAGUGCGAGCAUACACGUUGGGACCCGAAAGAUGGUGAACUAUGCCUGAGCAGGGUGAAGCCAGGUGAAAACCUGGUGGAGGCUCGUAGAUGUGCUGACGUGCAAAUCGCUUUUCGGACUUGGGUAUAGGGGCGAAAGACUAAUCGAACCAUCUAGUAGCUGGUUUCCUC